rnacentral:tRNA from 1 species
UGGCUCAGAUGGUAAAGCAUCUGGCUUUAAUGCAGGAGACCCAGGUUCGAUCCCUGG